rnacentral:rRNA from 1 species
GAUGAACGCCAGCUACAGGCUUAACACAUGCAAGUCGAGGGACCGGCGCACGGGUGCGUAACACGUAUCCAACCUGCCCUUUACUCGGGGAUAGCCUUUCGAAAGAACGAUUAAUACCCGAUAUAAAGGAUGGGGAUGCGUUCCAUUAGGUUGUUGGUGAGGUAACGGCUAACCAAGCCUUCGAUGGAUAGGGGUUCUGAGAGGAAGGUCACCCAGAUUGGAACUGAGACACGGUCAAAACGCCUAAGGGAGGAAGCAGGGAGGAAGAUUGGUCAAUGGGCGCUGGCCUGAACCAGCCAAGUAGCGUGAAGGAUGAAGGCUUAUGGGUCGUAAACUUCUUUUAUAUAAGAAUAUGUAUUAUAUGAAUAAGGAUCGGCUAACUCCGUGCCAGCCGCCGCGGUAAUUC